UUAGUUGUUGACUUUGAGAUUUAUAAAAGAUUUCCGAAAAUGGGAUUUUCGGUAGUUCUCUAUUAUAACUUUAUCGUUUAUUUGUGGAAUAUUGAUCUUGACCUUGAGAAUAUUUUAGCGAGUAUUUCGGAUUGAAUUUAUUUAUGAUCUAUACUUGUUAAUUAAAUCUCGCUUAUAAUUAUGGAUUUGAGAAUAUUUUGACGUGUGAGACACGUUAUUGAGUUUUAUUUUAAUUUCGUAUGAUAAUUUUCAAGAACGGUUAGGAACCGUUCCAUUCACAAGAUCAUGGGGAAACUUUAUGGAUUUAAGUGUUUUCGUAUGUUUUUAGUAUGGAUUUAAGUGUUUUCGUAUGUUUUUAGUCACCAUAUUAUAGGGUCGCUCUUAUUCAUUGCUAGUUAGCCUUUAUUAGCGGUCCUCACCAUAGGUGAGUCGAGCGCUUAGUGUGGGACGCUACUAUAGCCUAGGAGGCACCGAUCGGUUAUUAUUUAUUGUUAGCUAGUCAUUAUUAGCGGUCCUCACCAUAAGUGAGUCGAGCGCUUAGCGUGGGACGCUACAAGGGUCUGGGAGGCUCUGACCCGAGUUUGGGAGGCUCCUCUUACAUGAUGCUAUCUCUUCCCCUUUGUUUUUUUUUUCUCAAUUAUGUAUUUGAUUAACCAGCGGGGAUGGUUUAUCUCUUCUUAUGAGAUUUCUGUAUUUAAUUAACCAGCGGGGCUGGUUUAUCCAUUCAUAUGUUAUUUUGGAUAUAAAGUUAAAUGUUUGAGCAAUGUUGUUUGCAUCUAAGGUUUUUUUUUUUUUUUUUUUAAAUUUAAACGUGGGAAAGUAUUUAAAUUACAUUUUUGAUAAAUUAUUUAAAUUAUUUUUGUCCACUCACUCUAACGUUUUAAAUUACUUUCCCUUUGGUUUAAAAUGCCCAGUUUGCAGGCUAAGUUUAUUUGCGGUCAAGCGUACAUGGCAUAGUCAGAGGUUGCUUCCACUUAUUCUUAUUUCAUUGUUUUUCUUUCAUUAUUAGAUAUGCUCUGAUGACCUUUGAGAUUGUUGUAAAUUAGCUAUGGCGUGUUGUGUUUUGGGUGUGGAUGUAGAGCUGGGAGUAGGGAAUCUCCAGGUGUUGAGGAUGGAUUGUUUGGUUAUAGAAGUGUAUGUUUGGAUUUGACAGGUAGGGGGGUUAUGCUGAAAUUUUUGGUAAAAUCUUUUUUGAGGUGGAUCCCGUAGGGUUUAUUUCGGAUUUCAGGAUGAAAUCCAAGGUGGGUCCUGACAAUAUAUUCAUAUAUGGAUAAUUAUGAUGAUAGUAUGUAUAUAAAUGCUAGCUAGCCAUAUGUGCUUUUCUGCCAUAAUGAGGUAAAAUUUCAUUAUGGUGUGACGUGAGCGUGAGACGCAAGCGUUGUAGCCCUAUAUGGAAACUAUUUUCAUAUAGGGGAUGUGCAAGUAUAUACUCCCGUCUUUUCCGCCAUAAUGAGGUAAAAUUUCAUUAUGGUGUGACGUGAGCGUUAGACGCAAGCGUAGUAGCCUCGUAUGAAUUUCUAUUUUGUUCUUAUAUUUUCAUAAGAAUUCAUACAAGGAAUAUGACGAGUGUAAAUACAUAUAUAUAUAUAUAUACAGUUUAGCCUGAGAGACUCUUUAUUACAAAGUAUGGGAUGUCAGGAUCCACCCUGGAUUUCACCCUGAAAUCUUAAGUAAACCCUGCAGGGUCCACCUCAAGAGAGAUUUUACCAAAAAUUUCGGCAUAACCUUUCUUGAAAAUGGACAACCCUACCUGAUCAACACUAACCUGCAACACACUUCUACAAUCAUAUUCCGACCUUGUACUCCUGGAGCCUAUCUGCUCCCUAAGUUCCUCACAUCUCCCAAAAUACAUCAACCCUUAAUCAACUAAUAACAAUCUCAAAUGGUCAUCAGAGCAUAUCUAUAACGUACGAAUAACAAUGAAUAAAGAAUAAGCGGAAACAGCCUCUGACUAUGCCUCGACUCCAUGUACGCUCGACCUCAAAUAAACUUAGCUUGCAAACUGGGCAUUAAAAACCAAAGGGCUCAGCGGAAAGUAAUUUAAAAACGAUAGAGUGAGUGGAUAAAAAUAAAUUAAAUAAUUUAAUAAAAACGUAAUUUAAAUAAUUUCCCACAUUUAAACUUUAAAACCUCGAUGCACGUAACUUUGAUAUAACAUUUAACUUUAACUCUAGAAUCACAUAAAAAUGGACAGUUUCGGGUAUGUUGAUCGAUUUUGAGGGUGAUAUUUUUCUUGUGCUUGUAAGUCGUUAUUGGUGGCAACUGUUGAAUUUAUAAUUGAGGGAUGAGAUUCUGACGGUUAUUAUUGGUUAGCAAUGAUUAAUUGGCGGGGCGAAUUGUUGGAAAUUAUAAUAUGAUUGGCUGGUGGUAUAGCUUUAAGGAAAAAGAUUUUUGAUGACUCGGGAAAUAUUUUUAGUCAAGGCUUGUCAGUUCAUUGGCAUAAAUGGUAAAAUUGUGAAAGGUCAUGUUAAAUGUCUUUCUUGUGAUGCGUAUUCAUAAGUGAUCGUAUCGUGGUGGGACCAUUUUUGAUCCGUGUAGGACCUGGGGAGGUCAUUGUUGUAUGGAUACGAUUUGAGAUACAAGAGAUAUUCAGUGUAAAGGUUUCGUAACAUAGAUCACAUUAACGUAAUCUGGCGACAACGGAGAUAUUAGCUUAUCAACAUAACGAUUAAGGCCAACCAUAGAGGUGGUGAAGGUCCAAUUUCGACGCGAACGAUCGAGUUUUAUCUUAAUUAAUUGGUGACAAAAGUAAGAUGGUGUUGUGAAAUAUGAAAUUUAUUGACCAUUUUGACUUGUCAAAAGUCGAAGUCAUGCGUGUGAUUUGGAGAUAUCAUAAGUAACUAUAAUUGGGCAAGCCACUCAAUUAGUGGAAGGUAAGCUCAAGGAGCAAGGUGUAUUAUGUGAGUGGAGCCAUGUGAAACGUUGACGAGGUAUUUCACUUGACCCUGAGUUCGAGAUUUGUUAAAGCAUAUGCACGCCUUGGGUUUGAUUGAUAAGUUAUGAUGUGCCAAUGUAAGUGGAAAAGAAUUCGGUUAAUGGUUUCCAUAAGUAAAAAGGUGUACUUUGUGGUGGAAGAUAGUUGGAAGAGCAUUGAUGAUGGGACAAUUUAGCUUAGCGCUUAUCGGAGUUUGAGGUGAAGAGAAGUAACCUCUACCCUUUUAUAUGAUUUGAAAUUUCAAGGACGAAAUUUUUAUAAGGACAGGAGAAUUGUCACAUCCCGGUUCUUAAGUUAAUAUGCGGGUAUUUACUUUUGGUAUUACUUUGGCCUUUUACCGUUUUGAGUAACUGUUUACUGUGAAAGGACCCUAGAGUUGACUUUUUGUAGGAAAAUUAUUUUGGGAAAAUUUCUUUGAGGAAGUUGUAGAGGAUGUUAAUACAAAUCCGUGGACAUGCUAUACGUUGAAAUCAGAGUUCGUAUGUGAAAGUUAUGGCGUAAAAUGUAAAGUUACUAUUUAUGUUGGGGGUAUAAAAAUGAAAACUUACCAUUUAAGGUACGAUAGAAAUCAGAAACUUACGCCUUUUCUCUCUCCUCUCCCGCACCUGUUUUGGUCUGGUGACUUUGCCGCCUCCGUUCGCCGUCGUCCGGCCAAGAUAGGCGCCAAACUUGGUAUCAAAUUGAAGCACGGAGCAUCCUCUACAAGUCUAGGUAGGUGGCAAGCCGUGUCGCGCCGCCGUGAGGGAGAAAGUUUGCCGUGAAGUAGCAUCUGUCUCGCGGUAGUGUUCUCGCCGAAACUCUCUUUUCUGGCCACUAAAGCCAGAGCUGUUGGUCUCAUUUGGAAGCUCUCCUCUGGUGCAUCAAAACCUCAAAAGGAUUCGACUUAACUCGAGCUAGGUAAGGAGAAUCGAAGGUUUGAAAUUCUAGGGUUUUAAAUUGGGAUUUUUUAAUGUUUGGGUUCGAUUACCCUAGUUAGGCUUGAAAUUGGAUUUUCUGCUAGUUAUGAAAGUUGUUUAGAAUGUUGAGAGGAUGAUUGUGCUAAAAUUUGGUGAUGAUUGGAGGUGGCCGGCCGACCGGCCGCCGCUACUAGCGGAGCAGGUGGCAGCAACGCCUCUUUUGGGUUGUUUUUCAAGCUAAUUAGGUAGUGUAUGAUGAGAGGAGUCCAAUGGUGUGAAGUUUGUAAUUUUUGGAGGAGUUUUGGUUAGGUUGAGAAUUUUUCAGAGAUUGGAGAAAUUGGCGGUUGAUAGAAUAGAUUUGACCAUUUGAUUUACUUGGAUAUGGUCCUAAAGUGCUAGAAUCGAUGAAGUGAGGUUGUGGUUGGAGUUUGGCAUGAAUCCGAUAAGCUUAAUUAACCCUAGCUAGGGUAGUGGGUUAGGCGGAAGAUUUUCGGGGUGUUAUAUUAAAGCAUUUAUUUUUCUAAAAUUGGAGUGUGGUUCUAAUUAUGCUUUUGGUGUUAGGAUUCAUGGAGACCUCACACGUAUAGUGUUGCGGAUAUCGUCGGGCUUAUGCCUAAAUUUGUGAGUUGACACUUUGGUUUUUAAUAAAAUAUGCAUGCAAGAUUUUAUAAGUUAUUAAUUUAUUUUCCGAGCUUAUAUUAUAAUUUUGGCUCAUGAAAUGAUCUUGGAAUUUAUUUGAGUUUGAUGCAAUGAUAAAUUGUUGGUCAUGAUUUAAGGAUUUGAGCUCGGAUUAUUAAUUUGGUAUUUGAGUUGGAUAUUCUUUAUGAUUUCCGGAUUUCAUUAUGAUUGUUUUAUUUUGAGGACUUUGAGAUUUAUAAAAGAUUUACUGAAAAUGGGAUUUUUGGUAGUUCUCUAUUUAUAACUUUCUCAUUUACUUGUGGAUUAUUGAUAUUGACAUUGAGAAUAUUUUUAGCGAGUAUUUUCGAAUUAAGAAAUUAUUUACAGUUUAUACCUGAUAAUUAAAUCUCGCUUAUAAUUAUGGAUUUGAGAAUAUUUUGACAUGUGAGACAGGUCAUUGAGUUUUAUUAUAAUUUCUUAUGAUAAUUUCUAAGUACGGUUGGGAACCGUACCAUUCUUAUAAUCUUGGGAAAGCUUUAUGGAUUUAAGUGAUUUCGUAUGUGUCAGGACCUACCCCGGAUUUCCCCUUGAAAUCCGGAAUAGGACCUACCUCAAGGGAAAUUCUACCAAAAUUUUAGCAUAACCUCCCUUGAAAAUGAGUAACCCUACCUAAAAGAAAAUCACCAAAAACCCAAACACUUCUAAAACAAUUUAAUUCACAUCUCCUAGAGCCACUCGCUCCCCCAAAUAAACAUCCACCACCUGAACAAAAGUAAUAAUUCAAAAUAAUUUCAUGAAUUUAAGUUCUCAUACAAACAAACCAAAUGAAUCUUUUCCAUCACUCCUACGUGGAGUCAUAAGCUCUUAACACACAUCAACACAAAAUCAUUUAAGACAUCCCAUGGUUAUCAGAGCAACUACUAGGAAACGAGAAAAUACACAAGUAGGUUAGACAGGUAACAUAUGAAUGAAAACUAGAAGUGGUGGAAAAUAUGACUCGCCUCCUACACUCGCCGAAACAAACUCUGCAGACUGGGCAUUUAAAAAUGAAAGGCCCAGGGGAGAAGCAUUUAAAACGUUAGCGUGAGUGGACAAAAAUAAAUAAUAAAAUACUGACUUAAUGAUAGAGCCUUAAAAUCAAAAUUAAUGCUUUUUCCAUAUUUUCCAUUGAGAAAAAUAUUUAUGCGUGCCACUCUUGAAAAUUUUCCCGAAAAUAUAUAGAGACAAAAGAAUGAACCAAUCCCAUUGGUUCCCAACAAAUCAAUAAAAUAUGGGGAAGAGGUUUCACCAUAACCAUGAGCCUCCCAGUCUAUAAUAGCGUCCCACGCUAAGCGCUCUACUCACAUAUGAUGAGGACCGCUAAUAAGGCUAUAAUAGCGUCUCACGCUAAGCGCUCAACUCACAUAUGAUGAGGACCGCUAAAUAAUGGCUAGCUAACAAUAAAUAUAUAUAUACCGAUCGGUUGUCUCCCAGGCUAUAAUAGCGUUCCACGCUACACGCUCUACUCACAUAUGAAGAAGACAGCUAAUAAGGCUAUAAUAGCGACUCACAUAUGAUGAGGACCGCUAAUAAGGUUAGCUAGCAAUAAUCAAUAUAAAUCAACCCUUUUAUGUCCCACAUGUCAAAUAAAAUGCUCAAGAGAGUUCUUGAAAAAUAAAUGGAACUCAUUAAUCCAAGAAAAUAAUAAAUCUCCAAAAUGCCUUUGAAAAUUAAAUAAACUUUAAUGCAUGCAUGGCAUUCAAAUCAAAGAUCCACUCACAGUGCUCAGCUAUGUUUGCCGACGACCCGAGGCUUCCUCCAAAUGAUCCUCCUCACAUCCUGAACAAUAAAUAAUUAUUAAGCCUCCAUACUAGGAUAUAACUUUAAUAAAAUUCCGAAAUAAAAGGAAGCCUAUAAUUUCAUCUCUCUUGCCCAACUUCUCCACUUUUAAUCUAAUAAGGCUCACACUACCCCACACUUACCGAUAGUCAAAAAUUAACCUUUUUGAAGUUUAAAAUCUUGCUAAACCAACUGCCGUAUUUCCAUUCGAAUAACCGCCUAAAUCCUUAAUCAUUGAUAAAUCCCAAACCUUAACAAAACUCCUCCAAAAAUUCCAAACUAUACUUCAUUAAACUCUUCUCAUGAAAACAAACCCAAAAUCAUGAAAAACUGCCCCUAAGGAGCGGCGGCGCCGGCUGCUCUGCCGGCGGCGGCGGCCGGUAGCCGUAUUCCGGCGAUGACCAUUGCCUCUCAAAUUUUAACAGAAUAAUCCUCUCAUCAUGCACAACAACUUUCAUAACUAGCACUUAAUCCAAUUCUAAGGCUAACUAGGGUAAUCAAACCAAAACAUCCAUAAAUCCCUAGAACUUCAAUUAUACAUUUCACCCUAACAAGAUCGAAUUAAGUCAAUUCCUUUUGGGGGAUCACUAACCUUGAUGAGAGCUACAGGAUGAGCUGAAAAUCACGAGCUAUGGUGGCCGGAGGAGGAAAUUCCGACGAAAGGCUAUCCGGCGUCGAACGGCGGUGUUACACGGCUGGUCAUCGGCCCAAGAAGAGAGAGGGGACGGAGAGGCGGCCGGUUGCUGGCCGGACAGUGGCAGGUGACGCUGGGAACUUCCGACCGGUUAGAGGCUCUGGAGAGAAGGGAGGAAGAGAGAGAGAGAAGGAUGAGGGAGAGAGAGAGAGGGGGUGGGGGGGGGGGGGGGGGGNNNNNNNNNNNNNNNNNNNNAACUUAAACCCAAAAAUUAUACCCACUAAAUAUUUACCCCCUUUUUCCAUCUCAAAAAUUUACUCUUUUAAUUAAUAACUUUUCCAUGCUAACUCCGAUUUUAACGUAUAACAUGUCUACGAACUGGUAAUAACGUCCUCUACGAUUUUCAUGAAGAAAGUUUUCCCAAAUUCCAAACGGAAGAAAAAGUCAACUUUAGGUCCUUAAGGAGUAAACGGUUACUCAGCACGGUAAAAGACAAAAAUAAUACCAAAGUAAAUAACCGUAAAAUAACUUAAGAACCAGGGUGUGACAGUAUAUUUUUAGUCACCAUACUAGGGUCACUAUUAUUCAUUACUAGCUAGCCUUUAUUAUCGGUCCUCACCAAAGGUGAGUCGAGCGCUUAGUGUGGGACGCUACUAUAGCCUAGGAGGCACUGAUCGGAUAUUAUUCAUUGAUAGCUAGACUUUAUUAGCGGUCCUCACCAUAGGUGAGUUGAGUGCUUAGCGUGGGGCGCUACUAUAGCUUGGGAGGCACCGACCUGAGCCUUUGAGGCUCCUCUUACAUGGUGAUAUCUCUUCCCCUCGUUUUAUUUUUCUCAGUUAUGUAAUUGAUUAACCAACGGGGUUGGUUGUUUUCGAGAUUUCUGUAUUUGAUUAACCAGCAGGGCUGGUUUGUCUAUAUUUAUGGAAUUCUGGAUUUAAAGUUAAUUAGAUUAUCAAAGUUGCGUGCAGUUAAGUUUUAAAAGUUGAAACGUGGGCAAGUAUAUAAAUUAUGUAUUUGUUAAAUUAUUUAAUUUAUUUUUGUCCACUCACUCUAACAUUUUUAAAUUACUUUCCCCUAGGCCCUAUGGUUUUAAAUGCCCAGUUUGCAGGCUAAGUUUAAUUGAGGUCGAGCGUACAUGGAGUCGAGGCAUAGUCAGAGGCUACUUCGGCUUAAUCUUUAUUCAUUGUUUUUCUUUCAUUAUAGAUAUGCUCUGAUAACUCAGUGAGUAAGUUAUUGAAUGUCUUUGUUGUUGGUUGGGGAAUUCUUUUAGAGGAGUAAAUGAUAUUUUGGGAGACGUGAUGAACUUGGGGAGCAGGAUGGCUCCAGGAGUUAAGGAUAGAUGAUUUAUAAUAGAAGUGUUUAUCUAGAAUUUUUUUUUUAGGUAAGGGUUGUCCAUUUUCAUGAUAGAUUAUGUCGAAUUUUCAAUAAAUUUUUCUUUAGAGGUGGACCCUGCAGGAUUUACUUCGGGUUUCAGGGUGAAAUUCAGGGUGGGUCCUGACACGGUUGUCACACCCCGGUUCGUAAGUUAUUUUAUGGUUAUUUACUUUUUGUAUUACUUUGGUCUUUUACCGCUUUGAGUAACCGUUUACUACUUAAGGACCCUAGAGUUGACUUGUUGUAAGAAAAUUAUUUUGGGAAAAUUUCUUAAAGGAGGUCGUAGAGGACGUUAAUAUGAAUUCGUAAACAUGCUAUACGUUAAAAUCAGAGUUAGCAUGAAAAAGUUAUCAGAUAAAAGGGUAAAUUUUUAGUUGGUAAAAAGGGGGUAAAUUUUAGUAGGCUUUAUUUUUGUUGGGUAUUAAAGUUUGGACCGGGUAGGAGAAGCCCAAACUCUCUCUCUCUCUCCCAUCUCUCUCCUCUCCCCCGAACUCCCCCGACCCGCCGGACCCUUCACUUUCGUCUACCGCUGUCCGGCCACCACAGAUCGCCGCACCGGUCCCAAACGGUCGGCCAUCGACCUAGCUUUCUUCCUGAACCGAUGGGAGCCGCCCUAGCGCUGCCGUGAGGGAGAAAGGUCGCCCGAAAGCCUGACGGUCCCGUGGUGUUCUGUCGCGGGAACUCCCUCUUCCGGCCGCCAUAACCGGAGCUUCUUGGCUCAAUAGGAAGCUCUUCUCUCGUGCAUCAAUCCCUCAAAAGGAUUCACUCCCUCUUGGUCUAGGAUACGAAGGGAAUCUCGCUUGAGUGGCGAUGCGGAUAUCGUCGGGCUAAUGCCUAAAUUUGUGAGUGGACAUUUUAGUUUUAAAUAAAUAUGCAUGCAAGAUUUAUAAUUUAUUAUUUUAUUUUCCGAGCUUAUAUCAUAAUUUCGGCUUAUGAAAUGAUCUUGGAAAGUAUUUGAGUUUAAAGCAUUGAUUAAUUAUGGGUCAUGAUUUAUGGAUUUGAGCUCGGAUUACUAAUUUGGUAUUUGAGUUUGGAUAUUUUUUAGAAAUUCCAGAUUUUAUUAUGAUUGCUUUAUUUGUGGACUUGAGAUUUAUAAAAGAUUUCCGAAAAUGAGAUUUUCGGUAGUUCGCUAUUUAUAAUUUUCACAUUUAUUUGUGGAAUAUCGAUCUUGACCUUGAGAAUAUUUUAGCGAGUAUUUUGGUUUGAGGUAUUAAUUACGAUUUUUACUUGUUGAUUAAAUCUCGCUUAUAUUAUGGCUUUGAGAAUAUUUUGACGUGUGAGACACGUCAUUGAGUUUUAGUAUAAUUUCUUUUGAUGAUUUUCGAGUACGGUUAGGAACUGUACCAUUCUCAUGGUCUUGGGGAAGUUUAAUGGAUUUAAGUGAUUUCGUAUGUUUUUAGUCCUCAUAAUAUAAGGUCGCUUAUAUUUCAUUACUAUCUAGCUUUAUUAGUGGUCCUCACCAUAGGUGAGUCAAGCGCUUAGCGUGGGACGUUAUUAUUGCCUGGGAGGCACUGAUCGGAUAUUAUUUUUUAUUGCUAGCUAGCCUUAUUAGCGGUCCUCACCAUAGGUGAGUUGAGCGUUUAGCGUGGGACGCUACUAUAGCUUGGGAGGCACCGACCCGAGCCUUGCAGGCUCCUCUUACAUGGUGAUAACUCUUCCCCUUAUUUUAUUUUUCUCAGUUAUGUAUUUGAUUAACCAGUGGGGCUGGUUUAUCUCUUUUUACGAGAUUUCUUUAUUUGAUUAACCAGCAGGGUUGGUUUGUCCAUUCUAUUGGGUUUCUGGAAUUUAAGUUAUAUGAUUUACGAUAGUUGCGUGCAGCUAAGUUUUUAAAACUGAAACGUGGGAAAAUAUUUAAAUUACGUAUUUUGUUAAAUUAUUUAAUUUAUUUUUGGUCCACUCACUCUAACGUUUUUAAAUUAGUUUCCCCUAGGCCCUUUGGUUUUAAAUGCCUAGUUUGCAGGCUGUGUUUAAUUGAGGUCGAGCGUACAUGGAGUCAAAGUUUGCUUCCGCUUAAUCUUUAUUCAUUGUUAUUCUUUCAUUAUUAGAUAUGCUCUGAUAACCAAUUAGUGAAUUGAUGUUGUCUCUGUUGUUGGUUGUGGAAUUUCAGAAGUUAGUAUUUGAUAUUUUGGGAGAUGUGAUGAACUUGGGGAGCAGGAAGGCUCCAGGUCUUGAGGCCUGUUUGUUUGGUUAUAGAAGUGUAAAUUUGAUUUUUCAGGUAAGGGUUGUCCAUUUUCAAGGUAAAUUAUGCUGAAUUUUCGGAAAAUUUUCUUUUGAGGUGGACCCUGCAAGAUUUACCUUGGGUUUCAAGGUGAAAUUCGGGGUGGGUCCUAACACGAAAGCAAUGGUCCCGGUGUCUCACAUUCAUGUGUUUAUUUGCGGGCAAGAUAUCAUGACAUCACGAUUUCUCAUAACGUGGUAGAGCUAUAGCAGCACACGACGUACCCCACUUAGAGGGAGCAUGUCCAUCCCCUCCCUUGCAUGGGGACUUGGGGGACUGGGGACUAGUCGCUACUAGUAAGGCUCGUCCUCCCGAUACUCUAUCAGAUAAAGUCCCCACCCAAGAGAGUCUCUUGACCGCAGACUUGGGGACUUGUUAAUACAUCAUAUGUGAGAGAUAGAACAUCGGUCCUACUUGCCUAAGAAAGACACAUAUUGCCACAUAAAACGGGCUUGGGCCUUAACUAAGCCCAAGAAACCUACACUCUUCCUUGAGGGCAUAAUAGUAAUACAGUCUCGAAUAAAGGCAAAAUGGUAUUUUUAUGGUGCAUCCACCCUAUCUCUAUAAAUACAUAUUUCCACCCCUCAUUUGGGUAAGCCUCCAUCUCCACUCUAUUCAUACCUCAUUUCUAGCCUCAUGUAGCUGACUUAGGCAUUAGAGGGUCGAAGGCCGACAAACCCGGUCUUCCCUCUAAUGUCGUUUACUCAUGAUUGACAGGUUAUGGAUCCUGAAGGUGGUGUUCUUCCCGCAUUCGGUGUGAUUCUUCCCCCUCUGAAAUCAUGUCGAAACAGCAACCAUGGCACUUAACAUCGGCAUCUUUUCUUUUUGGGUGUUUACUUCAGUUUUCUUCUCUUUGGCUGCAGUGGACUCCUUUAAACAGUGUUUGAGUGGACACUCCCGCGCUAAAUGGUCUCCUUUGCAUAUGAAACAACCAUCCCAACGUUUUCCUCUUUUUGAGGAAGUUAGUUAGGUUGGUGUGUUGUUAUCCUUCAGUUUGAAAUAGUCCUCCCAUAUUUGGUUGAAACUGCUUCCUUUGUUGGUAGCACGAUUUUCUCCACCUUGCAGGUAUUUGUCAGCGCUGAAGGUAUUUGUUCAAUAUGUUAUUCUCACUGGCCUAAGCAACUCAGACACAAACUUGAGGAAGUAAGUAAAAGAUGUAUCUUAGUGGGAUACAGUAGUUAGACUAAAGGCUAUAGAUUGUAUAAAUUGAAGAAAGAAAAGAUUGUCGUUUCAAGAGAUGUUGUUUUUAAGGAAAAAUGGUUCAAACAGUGUCUCACCUUUUGGAGAAGCUAACUUUUGGUUUCUCAACUUUAAAAAACUUCAAAACAGUAUCUCAUGUUCUUACCCCGACCAAAUUUUAAUAUCUGGGACCGUCAGGUCUGUUAUAAACACUAACGGUGGACAUAUUCUACCGAAUGUGCGGUUACCCACAAUCCCUCAGAGAAGAAGUGAAUAACUACUAGAACAACAAUUUGAAGAAUAGCUAUGACAAAUUCGACAAAGCACGAGCAGAAUCCUACCAUUGAAAGAGCAGGUGGUCUAUCUAUCAAAACUAUGUACUACCAAGAAUGGCCAUCAACUUGGUAACCAAAAGAAGUGCAACCUUUCUUACGACUACCUUCUCAUCCAUACACCUUGCCCUCAAAAUCUUAUUCAUCCAACCUUUUGGCCUUUCAUCCAUUACAUCACCAAAACCCAUAACCUCUUUCAACACAGCACAGCUAUCAUCACUUGAUAAUAAGCCAACCAGCUAUGACAAAUUCGACAAAGCACGAGCACGAAUGCCAACCAUUGCAUCUGAACAUCGCUCAUUAGCAACCCAACAAAUGCCGCACCCGAUUCUCCGAAUUCAAACCCAUAUCACAUCUAUCAAAGAAUUAACUAGCACAUAAUAAGGUCAACAACCGCCCCAACUAGUCAAUUGUUAAAAUUACUAGAAUUGCCGCAAACUUCAAACCCCAUCACCGAAAUCUCAGCCACGGACCCACGGUUUGAACCAACGACUUGAGGCUAUACGAAAACCUGUCUAAAUGAACCAAAUCCAUCACCAAUUCCAAUUUCUCAAGUACCGAAAACAAAACCUUUAGAUCAAAGUCCCUCUCAGUCACCAAUUCUAAAUAUGAUCGAUUCUAAUGAUUUUGCCGGAGCCAAGUCUCUGGGAAUUGAUUUUGGCAGCGGUUAUUGCACCCAACAUAAACAUCAAGGUAAGAGGAGCGACUUUCAUACCUGCAGUGACCUCUAAUUCGGUUGGAGUAUGCCGAAAACUCGCCUGAAAGUUCGAAACCCAAAUUUGCAAAACCAAGCUUCGAAUUGAGCUUCAUGACUACCAGAAGUCGCACCAGGGUGCCAAGGAGCUUCUAUCUUGACCGGUUUCGAACCUCGUCACCGUCGUCGGAGGUGAGAAUCUCGACCAGGUUUCAACACAGAACUUCUAGGCUUCGAUUUGCUACUGUAGGACCGAAUUGGCGUGACCCAGCUGGAUAAGGACGAAGGCAAGGAGAAGACGAAUCGAUCUGGGCCGGUGGUGUGGUCGGGUGAUGCAGACGGCGCUGAAAAGUCCAGGUAGGGUCGUCAGGUUCGGGUCGGGUAUACUGGGGAAUUUCAAAUUCUCUCAGGGUCUGCAAGAGAGAAGGAGAGGGAAGAGAAUUAGGGUUUCUGAAAUUAUGAGGGCUAAAAAGAAGAUUUACCUAUUUAUAUUAAAAAUUACCGGAAAGCCACAAACUUCCGCUGACCAUAACUUUCUCGUACGAAGUCCGUUUUACUGGAAGCCCUUUUAAUGAGGACCCUUAAAUUGAGGACUCGUUGAAGGCUUUUUGGCUUAUCUCAUCUUUCGAUCUUAUAUUCACAUCUUGACCGUUCAGUUUAUAGAUAUUCAUGAGUAGAUCAUUUCUCCAAAUUUUCAACUAUAUUGAAAAUUGUUAAGGCAUUUAUAAGUGUGAUUUAUCAAUUAUGAACUUGAAUGGUUCGUAUUUGACAGAUUUGGUUCGUCCGUUAAUUUGAUAUAGUUUGUUAUCUUAACGAACACCAAUUUGGCUGAAAAUUUAUAGAAAUUAUCUACUCAUAUAAACCUAAAAACUAAACGGAUGAGAUGUCAAAAUGUGAUAGAAAAAUAGGUCUUUUAAACCAUAAACCGAAAUGUCUUCAACUAGUCCUCAACUUAAGAGUCUUCAGUAGAAGGGCUCCCCCGUUUUAUGUGUGCAAUGUGUCUACAAACUCGUAUCGCCUUGCUCUCCAACUUUAGUGAAGGAAGUUUCUCGAGAAACCCAACGGAUUAAAAAGUCAACUCUUUAACCCUUCUAAAUAUAGCAUAUUCAAGAAAUUAUUCUCUCGAACACUUCCAGUCCACCCACUAAACCACAAAUCCGCACAACUCCUACUUAGAUAAUUUCCAAAAUCAUAUUACAAAUUAGUCACGAUUUUCCAGGAUACUACACUAGCAUCUCACGCCAUCGAUCCCAAACCAUUCAAACGCGCAAAACAACGCCACCGUAGCACAGUAAAUAUAUUGAAGACAACUUUGGGCGCUUAAUUCCGCCUAAAUAUAAGACUUUUGUGAUGGCCAUGUAAUGAACAAUGUUUUAAAAGGCUAAGGCAUAGCCAAGGCGUAGCCGAGAGAGCCUUACCAAGGCGUAAGCCUUGAGGCAAAAGGCAUAAGCCUUACAAAUUCUCACACUGAUCAUUACAAGUUUGAUUAUCAAUCUAAGCAAACUAAUCCUUACAAGUUUACAACAUGUACAAAAACAAGAAAACCAAGACAAUUCAUUAUGACGUAAAAGAGAAUGGACCAAUGUUGUUGACUUAAAUACAAUUCAUGCAAGCGAAAGUAUCGUUGUCAAGAUAGGGAAGUAUAAGUGCCCGAGUUAUCGUACCACGGGAAUUAGUGGCUAACCCACAAUCCUAGGCUAAUUGGAACAAAAGUCACUAAGCAAACAAAUGAAAAGAAAAAGAAAAUAAGGAAAAUGCUAAUCUAGGCACCAAGCCUUAGUAAUGCUCGGCUCUAGUUCUCACCAAAGCCUAAUCAAAACUAGAAGCCUAGUGAUGGUUAUCUACAAUGAGUCGAAAUAUAAAAUGAAGAUUGAAUGGGGAAUUAACUAAAUUGACGAAAAACUAAAUGAAAAAUAAACUACUAACUAAUGAACUAGAAUAUGAAGGGAACAUGGGAGUGUCGGGUGACCCCCACUAACUCAUUUGCAAACAUCAUUACUAAUCUCACAAAUACAUACCCUAUUGUGUUAAGUCCCGUAUCUAGUACCGGUUAAGGUUACUAGACCAAUUAUCCUUUCGGUGUACUGAUUAUGCCGGUUAAGGCCAUAAUUAACUUUCUCACUUAGACAUUACGCCGGUUAAGGCUGUAAUAUCUAAAUUAGAGGCCUAGAGUGCAAGAUAAUAGAGACCCAAGCAAGCUUAGCUACAAUUAAGAUAACUAAUGGUUACCACACUUCAAAUCCUAGAUGCACAAGACUAUUAAGUUGUCAAUUUAUCAAUCCAUCGAUCAAAUUGUCCACAACAUUAUCUCAAAGGGUGACAAAGCCUAGAAACAUGCUUCUAAGGACCAACACAUUCGGAUUCAAAACAUACACAAUGAAACUUGCAUUUAUAUCUAUCAAAGUACCAACAUUAUACAUAAUGAGUUUAGUGUUUCAAUACCCUAACUCCCAAAAUUGAAUCACUCACAACUCAUAGUCAAAUACAUCAUCAAUAGCAUAUAAGAUAAAGAAAUAGACAAUAAGGAAGAGAGGGAGAGUGCUAGCUUGGUCACUUCAAGCUAUGAGCUAGUAUGAACCCAAGAAAGCCUUUCACCCAACUACCCAAUUGAAGAGGUGGUGCUCUUGAUGAUGAAGAAGCCUUGAAGUCUUGAGUGAGUCCUUCAAAUUCCCAAAAGAAAUUAACUAAAUUGUGAAAUGAGAAGAGAGAGAAGAGAUGAAGGGAUGAAAUGGUGAUGAAUGCCUGAAUGGUGUUGGUGACGGGAAAGGGCAAGAGCCCUUCCCUUUGCUUCGUGCCUCCCUCUCCCUUCUCCUCUGUGUGCAGCCGGCCUUAGAGGAAGAGAGAAUGAGAUCUUAUAUAUGUAAAGGGUUGGCUGGGUUUGUGGCUGAAUUGUGAUGAGAGGGUAGAGGUGCCAUGUGUCACGAACUGAAUGGAGGAGAGGACCAAAAGGGAUGAAGUUUUGGUGCUGCACGGUUGAACAAGAUUUAUUCAGCUCAAUUAAUCAUGCUAUGAUUAAUUAGCUUAACAAAUCUCUAGUUCUCUUUAAUUUCUGCUCAAAUCCAUGUGCUCCAAUUUUGCUCAAAUGUCACCAUUUUCUAUCCGAAAUCCAAAUUUCCCCUUAUUUCCUACAAAUAAAUAAAAAUAGAUUAAUUACAUAUUAAUUAACUUAAAGAGUAGUUAAACUCUAAUGUUUAUGUAGUAAUUACGUGUAUACAAAUGCACGUAAUCAGUUGUUAAUUGGAUAUAACCAUAUACCAUAGAAACUGACUGAGGCAUUUGAUCGAACAGGUGCUGGGCAUCUAAUUUUAAGCAUUUUGAUUCAACUGAUACUCACCAAAUUACCAAAUAACACAACAAGUAACACAUCAAUUUCUCAAACAACACACCAAAUAACGCACCAAGAUCAGCAGAAUCAGAACAAGUAACACACCAAAUUAUCAAAUAAAUACCCACCGC
rnacentral:lncRNA from 1 species